GAAAGGAGGGGAUGGGGAGGGGAAUGAGGGAAGGGAGGGGAGAGAAAGUUGGGAUUAAGAAAAUCUGGGCCCGGCAUGGUCACUCAGCUCCUGUAAUCCCAGGGUUUGGGAAGAGAAAGUAGGACUAGCAUCUCAAGGACAACCUGGGCUACAUAGGGAGUUUGAGACUAGCUUGAGCUAUAUGAGAUCCUGCCUCAAAACAGCAACAAAAAGCUGGGGUGGUGGUACACACCUGUAAUCCUGGAAUUUGGGGAGUAGAGGAUUAUCUCCUUCUCAGUUUUGAUGUGAACUGCUCUCCUCCGACACUGUACCAAUCAAAGAUGAUACCCGGCCCUCAUCUUUUACUCAGAGCAAAAUGGAAUGUUACUAAGAUACCCGUGUAAAGCUUCAACUGCGAUCCCGGUAUGAGGGAUGAAGGAAGCAGAGACAGGAGACUCCCCGGCUCAUUGGAGUAUCUAAAAUCUGAAAAACUGUACCCUUCACGGUGCCUGUCAGCGUUGGGCAAAAGGCUGAGAAGGAAGGGCUGGCUGUACGUCUUGGGAUGGGGGUCCAAACCCCUUUCAGCCACUGUCUGCAGUGUCCGCAGCCUCCACCCCUGGUCUGCUUCCUCCGAACCACUCCGGGGUGGUUUGGCAAGAAUAUCGUCUGAGAAUACUGACCUGGUGUAUUUGUUCUGUUAUAACUAAAUACCUGAGACUGAAUAAUCUAUAAUAAAAAGUAAUUUUUC
rnacentral:lncRNA from 1 species